rnacentral:rRNA from 1 species
GACGAACGCUGGCGGCGUGCUUAACACAUGCAAGUCGAACGGAAAGGCCCUGCUUUUGUGGGGUGCUCGAGUGGCGAACGGGUGAGUAACACGUGAGUAACCUGCCCUAGACUUUGGGAUAACUUCAGGAAACUGGGGCUAAUACCGGAUCGGAGCUCCUGCUGCAUGGUGGGGGUUGGAAAGUUUAGGCGGUUGGGGAUGGACUCGCGGCUUAUCAGCUUGUUGGUGGGGUAGUGGCUUACCCAGGAUUUGACGGGUAGCCGGCCUGAGAGGUUGACCGGCCACAUGGGGACUAAGAUAGGGCCCAGACGCCUACGGGAGGCAGCAGUGGGAAAUAUGGCACAAUGAGCGGAAGCCGGAUGCAGCAGCGCCGCGUGCGUGAUGACGGCCUGCGGGGUGUAAACCGCUUUCGCCUGUUACGAAGCGUGAGUGACGGUAAUGGGUAAAGAAGCACCGGCUAACUACGUG